rnacentral:rRNA from 1 species
GAAUAACUAAAUGGCCNCGGUACUUUGACCGUGCAAAGGUAGCAUAAUAAUUAGUUUUUUAAUUGAAAGCUGGAAUGAAUGAUUGGACGAGAAAAUUACUGUCUCAAGUUGAUUUUAUUAGAAUUUUAUUUUUAAGUAAAAAAGCUUAAAUUUUUUUAAAAGACGAGAAGACCCUAUAGAGUUUAAUAUAANAUAAUAUGUUAAUUUUUUAGUAUUUUUAUAUUAGUAUAUUAAUUUAUAUUUUAUUGGGGUGAUAGAAAAAUUUGAUUAACUUUUUUUAUGUUAAGACAUUUAUUUAUGAUAAAAUGAUCCAUUUUUUAUGAUUAUAAGAUUAAAUUACCUUAGGGAUAACAGCGNAAUUUUUUUUUAGAGUUCUUAUCGAUAAAAAGGAUUGCGACCUCGAUGUUGGAUUAAAAUAAACGUUUGGUGUAGGGGCUAAAUUGUUAAGUCUGUUCGACUUUUAAAAUUUUACA